GACGUGACGUCAACAAUGCUUUGCCGUUUUAAUAUAUUUAUUGUUGUCAAAACGGUAAAUACGCACAUUCGUCUGAAUAUAAUUUAAUUUAAAAAGAUCGCUGUUUGCCAUUUAUAAUUAUAUUUAAUUUAAAUGUGUAUAAAUAUAAAAUAUCUGGGAAUAGAGAAUACUACCUAAUGAUGAUAUCUAGAAUGACUGCGAGGACGAUGAUGACCACAAGACCAACACCAGCCACUGCUCCAGCAAUCAUUGGCAUCAUGUUUUGAUCUUCAGAUUAUUAAAAAGGUGAUGAGCCACUCAGAAUGCCUCCCCUUCAUCCAACUCCCCAUAAAAGGUAGAGAGGAACGGUCAUCAAUGACCGGGAGUGAGUCAACGAGAAAAUGCCGACACUCCCAGCCCGCUUCACCCGCUUCACACUCAGAAGGGAAGACUGUGUCUCGUCCUCGUGGUCUCGAUCGUUCGUCAGUGUUACUUGACGUCUUGGCAAUGCAUACUAUAGAAAUGAUCCCUAAAAGUAUGAUCUUAAAUAACAAACCAGUGAAAAAUCUUAUAUGUAACAAUUCAGUAAUACUUCUCAAGUGGUAGUGAUCUUUUGCAUAUUUAUACCAAUUGAUUUUGAUUUAUGUAGUAUCUUUUUAUUGCAAUAAAUAUAAAACUUUCAAUUGCAAUUACAGCAUUAAGUGAUUCUUUUGCAAUUUUUUUUUUUCAAAACAUAUCAUUGUCAGUUCAUUUAUUUAUUUAAUACAACUAAAUGUACAAAGAGAAAGAACAACUAAAGUAACCAUCGCAAAUGAACUGCUUGACCUAAGUCGCCCUUGGACAUAAACUUGAACAGGUAUAACAUAUUUUACCCGCCUGAGGCCUCGGUGGUGUAGCCUCCAAGUGGUUAAGCCAUCGAACUUAUGACUGGUAGGCCACUACACCGACUUCUCUCUCACUAACGACUAACCACUAACGCACAGUGCUUUGUACAGAUAUAUGGGCCUGAAUUUGUUCCUGAAUUUGUUCUUCUGAUCUAGACCACAGCAUUAUAGCUAGACCACAGCUUUAUAAUUUUUAUAAUACCAUAUCGAUCUUUCAGCCAUUGUUUGGACACUUAAGUGUGAACCAAAAUCUACCAAGAAUCCAAGGUCAUGAAAUCUUCAAAUUUAUCAACUGUAUUCUCAUUUAGUAUAAACAUUUGAUUUUUUAUGUUCGAGUUUGUGUAAACUAUAUGUGAAAAAGAUAUGGUACCUUUGUUUUAAUUGGGUCGACUGCUCUUGGUGGAACUAACGUGUGUAUCAAAUGCUGUAAUGGGUGUGUUCUUGUCUAUGGGAAAGAGCAUAUUAAAAUGGUAAGAGUAACCUAUGUGGUGGCAGCAGGUUUCCUCUCUUUAUUUAGACCAAGUUGUUAAAAUAAUAACUUGUUAGACAUCUAACAGCUGUGAAUUUAAAUAUGCUGUCUUUUAAGAAACAAAUGCUCCUUUCUUUCUCCAAACUGCCUCACAACAAAA